GACGAACGCUGGCGGCGUGCUUAACACAUGCAAGUCGAACGGAAAGGCCCCGCUUUUGUGGGGUGCUCGAGUGGCGAACGGGUGAGUAACACGUGAGUAACCUGCCCUUGACUUUGGGAUAACUUCAGGAAACUGGGGCUAAUACCGGAUAGGAGCUCCUGCUGCAUGGUGGGGGUUGGAAAGUUUCGGCGGUUGGGGAUGGACUCGCGGCUUAUCAGCUUGUUGGUGGGGUAGUGGCUUACCAAGGCUUUGACGGGUAGCCGGCCUGAGAGGGUGACCGGCCACAUUGGGACUGAGAUACGGCCCAGACUCCUACGGGAGGCAGCAGUGGGGAAUAUUGCACAAUGGGCGGAAGCCUGAUGCAGCAACGCCGCGUGCGGGAUGACGGCCUUCGGGUUGUAAACCGCUUUCGCCUGUGACGAAGCGUGAGUGACGGUAAUGGGUGAAGAAGCACCGGCUAACUACGUG
rnacentral:rRNA from 1 species